AAAGAAGCCAUGUCAAAAAUAUUUGGUUUUGGUUUUGGUUUUGCUAUCACUUUAUAAAAAUACACAGGACCUCCUUUUAUUUGCCUUUCCAAACCCUCACAGGUUUUUCUUUUUAAAAAUAUUUUACAGGAAAAGAUGCCAGGCUGUGAAAGCAGCAAGAAACAGGAAUUUUUUAACAAGGAAAAACAGCUAAAGCACUCUGACCAUAAAUUGUCAUGAGAGGCAAGAUGGAGAACAAAACCCUUGCACAGCCAACCAGUUCUGUAUGCAUGUAGUUGGAUCAAGCUGAAAUAUAAAGAAUGAGAGAAACAUCAGAAUAUCCCAUGCAUCUUCCAUACAGAGAAGGAUGGCCCAAGAAAUACGUAGAUGUGUGUAUAAUGGGGAAGAAAACUGUAGGUCCCAGAAGAUCAUAUGUACGGUGAAUAUAUAUAUAUAUUUUACUUAUGAUCCAGGAAUAUUUAAGAUGUACCUCAAAACCAACAUUAUGCUGCACUUGUAGAUAUGAACUAUAUACUGUAUAUCUUAAACCACCAGAUGACUUGAUAAUGCAUUUUCUCAAACAACAAUCUGCUACAUUCUCACUUACUGUUUCCUAGUAUGAUUCGAUUGCUUAUUUGUACCCUAUCUAUCAUUAAAUGUUGUACCUUAUGAUUCUUGACGAAUGUGUCUUUUCUUUUUAUGUACAGAGAACAUAUGCACCAAAGGCAAAUUCCUUGUGUCUAAUCACACUUGGCCAAUAAAGAAUUCAUUCUUUUUCGUUUUCUUUCUUUCUUUCUUCUUUCUCUUUCUUUCUCUAUCAUUUUGUAUUGUAGAAAAAGCAUAGACUUUGUGUCUACAAAUAUAGCAAUUAACAUAGAGUAUAAUUAUGGUCUAUUAGGAAAUAGAAUCAAAUCUCACAAAGUAUCAGUAUGUCUUAUCAUCUUAGAGAUUAGUUUGUGUUUCUCUCCAGUACUGCUCUCUUGAAUUACUGAGCGAAGUGGUAUAUAUAUAAAAUGGCUGGAUAUGGCUCUAAAGUCCGUAAUAGCACAGGUAUGCACCAAAAGACCAGCAUGUGAAACUGCUCUGAUGCAAAUGAAAUUCUAUUCAUCCCAAUUGUCCAUUUCCAUUCAUUAGCUAUAUAUAAAUCAUGGUAGCUAGUAAUGUUCUAUCUAGAUUUUUUUCCAGAUCUGAAAUUAAACUCAAUGUCACCAAGCAAUUUCAUGUAAUGCAAUUCAAAUCAUAAAGUUAGUGUGGGAUUUUGAUCACUGAUGAAGAAAUAUUAAAACAAAUAACAUCAGGUUUCUUUUCUAUUUCUACCUAAUUCAUAAAUGGAAAAUAUUCUUCCAAAAGUAAGACAUUUGGGAUCUACUUAUUUGUCCUGGUUUUUCCAUGGUAGUAAGCAAGAUGGAAAGAAUAGUCUAGUGAAAAGGUGCAGUUCUGGCUUCUACAGUAUUGCUGUUUUCACUGUACAGCUGCAUAUAAACAGAUACCUGCUCCUGACAGUAUAUCUGUUAAGUAUAACUUUGUAUCUACAUUACUCUGUAUUAAUGUUCAGAAUUCCGUGACCAAAUGUAAAUAAACAAAACAAACAUU